AAUACCCUAUUAUUUUAAAAGUAAUUAAAUAAAUCUAAUUAGUAAUAGUUAAGUUCUUGAAAAUUAAAGAAUUUGGCGGUAUUUUAGUCUAUUCAGAGGAAUCUGUCCUAUAAUUGAUAAUCCACGAUUUUUUAUACCUAAUUUAUUAAUUUACAUAUCGCCGUAGUUUGAAUAUUUUUUGAAAAUUAUAAUAUUCAUAAUUUAUUUUGAUAAAAAAAAUCAGGUCAAGGUGUAGUUUAUAAUUAGGAAGAGAUGGGUUACAAUAAAAAUAUUUAUUAUGGAUUAAUUAAUUAAAUUUUUUUUAUGAAGGUGGAUUUGAAAGUAAUUUUAUUUA
rnacentral:rRNA from 1 species